rnacentral:rRNA from 1 species
UACGGGGGGGGCAAGCGUUGUUCGGAAUUACUGGGCGUAAAGGGCUCGUAGGCGGCCAACUAAGUCAGACGUGAAAUCCCUCGGCUUAACCGGGGAACUGCGUCUGAUACUGGAUGGCUUGAAUCCGGGAGAGGGAUGCGGAAUUCCAGGUGUAGCGGUGAAAUGCGUAGAUAUCGGGAGGAACACCAGUAGCGAAGGCGGCUCGCUGGGCCAUUCCUGACGCUGAGACGCGAAAGCUAGGGGAGCGAACAGG